UUCAAGAAAAGUCUGUAGCUGCAUGGCAAUGAUGAUAUGGCAGCCAAAGUAUAGAGUAUCUGGCCCAUAUAUUUAGAAUACACAAAGCAGGAUAAAACAAUAAACCUUAUUUGGCCUUGGCUGAAUAACAAGACACAGAAGAAAUAUCUGCCGAAAAUCUGCCAUCAGAUGGUUGAAGGUCAUUCAAACUGGACCACCAUGUUCUUCCAAAUCCUGUUCCUAAUAUGUUCAGUUUGUAAUACUUAUGGCGUUGCUAGUGCUGCAUCACCAUCGUGUGCCAGCGAUGAAUACAGAGUGGGACAGCUCUGCUGCCUUGCAUGUCCUCGUGGAUAUAGGGUUCAUAGGGAUUGCUCAGCGACAACCAAUACAAAGUGCACAAAGUGCCCCGAUGGUACUUUCAAAGAAGGCCUUAGCGGACAGAAGCAGUGCUCUAACUGUACAGAGUGUGUCAGAGGUCAGAAGGAGAAGAAGUUCUGUACUCCAACAUCAGAUGCUGAGUGUGUGAUCCCGGAUGGAUUCUUCUGUAGUGAGUCAGCAGAUAAAGACACAUUCUCAGAGACCACAUUGUCAUGCCAACCCCACACGAUAUGUGAUUCUGUGGGAGGGGUGCAGAUACAACCAGGAACUGAUUCCACUGAUUCUACAUGUCUUAAAUAUGUGGCAAUUGUGUUCAUAAUAAUAGGAUGCAUGGCUUUAUUAAUCAUAGUCCUGGGAGGUAAGCGUUACAUUCAACUCUUUUAUGUAUCAUGUUACAUUAAACUCUUAACAUCUAUCAUGGUUGCAUUAACCGUACAUUUAUCAUAUUACAUUAAACUCUGACAAGUAUCAUGGUUACAUUAAACUGCAACAUGUAUCAUGGUUACAUUCAACUAACAUAUGUAUCAUAGUUAUAUUCUACUAGCAUGUAUCAUGCUUACAUUAAACUAACAUGUAUCAUGUUACAUUAAACUAACAUGUAUCAGGGUUAUGCUGAAUGAUGGUGACCUCUGUCCUGACAUGUGUUGUUUAUCACUUCAUAGCAUUGUUUUAUACAUGGCUGAAAAUGGAAAGGGAUUUAACUGAAUGGGAAAAACAAAUAGAUGAGAUGGUAAGUGUUAUUACUGGUUUGAUACAGAACACAAUAAUAUGUGUGAACCUAGCUGGCAGUGGUGGAGUUAUUAGAUGAUGACCAGAGGCGGAUUAACACCCAGGCUAGCCUCGGCUGAGCCUAGGGGCCCAGGUGUGCAAGGGGCCCUGGAUGGGCCAGACUAUUUUCAAUUUGACUUAAAAUAAAAAAAGACUUGACUCCUAAUGGCCCAUAACAAGAACCAUUAAAAAGUGAAGCAGCUGAUUGGGUAGAUGUGUGGGCCAUGUCAUGUGACCAGGUUCAUAAAGUCAGUUUGGUUGUAAAGGAAUACGUCACGUCUGCUGGACGGCAAAGAGGCAGGAUGUCUGAAAAGGCGAAAAGCACAAGUGUUUCCAUUUGUCGAUAUAGCACUCU